rnacentral:lncRNA from 1 species
CAUGGCACUACAUCUUGCCCAAUGCCUAAAUACACAUGUCCAUUGUUUUACACUAGGAGGUCUCCAGCCCAUGUCCCCGUUAAUUUCAUCAUUUGGCGUAUACUUGCCAACACCUAUAAAAAAAACACUGAUAGCUCUGUUCUGGACAGCGUUGAUACAAGAAAAAGAACGAGUGCCCCAAAUGGAUGCACCGUAGCUUAUUACUGACCAGACCAGAGUAUCAAAUAAUGUUUUAAAGGUACUGUGCUAGAAACCACAAUGUGCUUUACAUUUAACAAUUAAUAAACUUAGAGCUCGACUGGCAGACCUUGCUACAGCUUUAGCCAUAAUAUUAUGAUGAGUGGUGGAUAUUUGGAACUGGAUCCGGAUUAACCAACCUUUUAAAUUCUGUUGAUGGAUAAAAAGCAAUAUGUGAAUUUGGCGCAAAAAUUGACGUUUUCCUAUAAAAUUACAAGACCAAAAAUGGUGACCCAAGUUUUUAUGCAUACAAUGACUUAUACUGAUGUAACUCGAUUCAAAAUACAAGUGUGCCAAAAAGUUUAGAAAUUGGGAGAUAUGGCAUUCGGUAUCGUGUUACGAGUUUAAACGUUGAAAAUCUUUAUCGAUACAUUGAAUUCGUUUCGUCUAACGUUAUAGCGUAGAAACGUCACGUUCCGUAAUAUAGCGUUACUGAUGUAAACAAGAUGUCCACAGCUCCGACUGCAAGGGAUUUCCUUCUGUUAAGAUGAGUUUCCAUAUAGUGUACAAGCAUUUCAGGUAUGCAACUUGUUUAUUUUAUCAAGUUUUACCAUUUGUGGAACAUUUUUCGUACUUGAGCGCUCUGAGAUUGUCUCUAUCGUCCCCGGGUAAUCUACCCGGGAGCUUGCACCAUUGAAGGUAAUGGAGGGCGAGCUGGACUCAGUGACAACAAAAAAAAAAAAAAAAAAAAAAAAAAUGAGUCACUGAGGCCAGGGCUGGACUAG